UUAUACAUUGUUGGGGUCAUUGGGGUGUGUUUCCUUGGAACAAGGACUUUCUCCAUGGAUAAACCCAACCAUGCACUCAUAGAAUAGAAUUAUAGAAUCUUUAAUGCCUGUGUUUGUGUUUGUGUUCGUGUCUGUGUCUGUGUCUGUGUCUGUGCUGUGUGUCACUGUCAUUCUCUUGGGAGAACAAACCACAAACCCAUUCCUGUGAAUUUCCGUUUGGACUCUUCCUUGCUACCCGCGUUUUCCUUCGAUGCUCUCUCUUUGCAUCCAAACGAAAAGUACAAUUCUUCCUUUCCCUUUCCAUAGCCCCACUACACACGUUCUCUACCUUUGUGGGGUUCCUCUGCCUCUAGGGUUCUCCUUUUCUCAGCCCCCUUCAUUUUGUGUGGCCUUCUUCAAAUCAUUCUCAUUUUUUAUUCAUUUCUCCAUAAUUCUUAAAUAUUCAAAUACCCUUUUGUUUUUUUUAACCUCUCGUCACGAUUCCCACCUCAAAAUCCCAAAUUUCCCCCUCAUCAUCACUAGGGUUUGUUUGUUCAUGUUUCUCAAACUCUCAACCUUGGAGCCACAAUGCGGAGUUUCAGAUGCAACUAAUUUAUAGUUCCCAUCCACCAUUGAUCUUUCCUUUGUGUUUUUUCCUUCAGGCCUUGUUUCUAGCAACUUUGCUUCUCUUUCCAAACAUGGGUUGUGUCCAUGGCAAGUGUUGUACUCGCUACCCUCCACCAUCAGUGGGUGGUUCAAGGGACUAUCGAGAACUUGGUCCUUUUUGUGCCCAAAGGAAGCACAUUCUCACUCAGACUUCACUUCAGUUUGUUCCUGUUCCUUCCCAUAACUUCACUUUGGAAUACUCUGUCCUCACUCAGAGAGGAUACUACCCUGACUCACCUGAUAAAGAAAACCAAGAUAGUUUCUGCAUUAGGACACAGUUUCAAGGUAAUCCAAGUGUUCAUUUCUUUGGCGUUUAUGAUGGGCAUGGCGAAUUUGGUUCCCAGUGUUCAAACUUUGUUAAGGAUAGGUUGGUAGAAAAUUUGUCUAGUGACACUGCAUUGUUGGAGGAUCCUGUUAAGGCCUACACUUCUGCGUUCUUGAAAACAAAUGAUGACUUGCAUAAUAAUGAGAUUGAUGAUUCUAUGAGUGGCACUACUGCAAUUACGGUGCUGGUUAUUGGAGACACCCUUUAUGUUGCUAAUGCUGGUGAUUCUAGAGCUGUGCUAGCUGUUAAGGAUGGGAACCGUGUUGUUGCCGAGGACUUAUCCUCUGAUCAGACACCAUUUAGGAGAGACGAGUAUGAGAGAGUGAAACUUUGUGGGGCAAGAGUGUUGAGUGUUGAUCAGGUGGAAGGGCAUAAAGAUCCGGAUAUUCAGACUUGGGGCGAUGAAGAAACUCAGGGAGAUGAUCCUCCUAGGUUGUGGGUUCAGAAUGGGAUGGUUCCUGGGGCUGCUUUUACAAGGAGUGUAGGGGAUAAGUUGGCUGAGACUAUUGGUGUCAUUGCUGUUCCGGAGGUGUCAACGGUUCAGCUUACACCUAAUCAUCUUUUCUUUGUUGUUGCAAGUGAUGGCGUAUUUGAGUUCCUAUCCAGCCAAACUGUUGUUGAUAUGGCAGCAAGUUAUUCAGAUCCUCGUGAUGCAUGUGCUGCCAUUGCUGGAGAGUCUUAUAAACUAUGGUUGGAACAUGAGGGCCGAACAGAUGAUAUAACCAUUAUCAUUGUUCAGAUCAAAGGCCUGUCUAAUUCAGGUACAUCUGGACUAAGAUCGGGUGAAAUCAAUGCCAGUACUGUAACGAGGACCAAGAGCAAGAGAGGAAAGGGAGCAUCUGAGAUCUCUGUAACUUCUGAGUUAGAUGUUUAUCGUUCUGUCAGGAACGGUUUCUCUGAUUUACAAUCCUGUCCGCAGCAUGUGGUCUCAACAAGAAGUCCAGCCAUAGUGGUCCCCUCUCCAGCAUGUCAAAGACCAAUUGAAUUGUGAUUGGAGAGAGAGGCUUUAUGGAAGCUUCACCCAGUCUCCUUGUACUUUUCUCCUAGCUGGCUGGUGAAGGUUUCUGGUUUGAAGUGCAUUCUUGGCAGCUGAACAUCUUUUUUCAGAAUGUAGAGUAGAAAGCAAAAAUGGUAAAUGGUCAUUUUCCUUCUGUUCUACCAUAUUUAAACGUUGUAAAGGAAGAAACUUAAGUAAAAGAGAGUUGUGUAGGAGUUUGGUUGGUGACUAACCUGACUACUAUUUGAAUAGAAUUGUAGUCAAAUGGUAGGCAACCCAUGUUCUAUUUAGAAUGUAAAUCCAUUAUUCUCAUUCUCAUGCUGAUGCUGGAUCCAGUGUAUCGUUUAGAAACAUAUCUGGAUUUUUUAAUUGCAUUUCAAGAUUAGUUUCAUGUUUUGUAUACUGCAAAUUGGUAAACGAAUGAAUGGUUGUGUAUAAGCAAUUGUCUCAUUUUCACUAUGCAAUUGAUAUGAUUUUUU